rnacentral:pre_miRNA from 1 species
AGUGGAAUUUCUGGGUUAUAUGGUGACUUUAUGUUUAAACUUUUGAGGAACUGCCAAAAUGUUUUACAAAGUAGCUGCACCAGUUUACAUUUCCACCAGAAAU